GAAAGCAGAAUGAAUGUUUUCAGAAAUCUGAGGAAGAGUUAACACUGUAACUGUCAAGUUCUACAUUGCUUUUUUUUUUUUUUUCUUUUUUUCACCAGGAACUCUCAAUGAGUGCUUCAACAUUUAUAGUCCAGACAUGAUAUUCUAGACUAUGAGCUGAUUUUUCAGUUGUACUGGAUCUUUGAAAGCUGGCAGGAUGAAUUUCUAGGUUUCCAGUCUUUAACGUUUAUCUCCCCUUGGAUCUCACCAUCUGCUCCUAU
rnacentral:lncRNA from 1 species